UUUUCUGUUAGCAGAGAUUCUACUACCAUCAUCUUAUUUUGCAGCAAUAGAGACAAAGGGGAUUUUCCUGAGCAGCAUCAGUAACAAAGAAAUGAGUCAAAUCAUUAAGAAACUGAUGGGCAUUCACUGAAGAGCAACAAAUAUGAUGUAUAUGUCUAAAGGGACUGCCUUCAGAGGGCAGAUGAAAGAGACAAGUCUCCUAGCAUGACCACACGGCACUAACGGGACUGGCUCAUCAGCCACAAGUACUUGAAGGCUGCAGUCGUAAUUAGCAACUGACACAUUCUGAAACCUGUGGUGGCCCAGAAGAACACACAUGUGCACAGGCUGUGCCAACCUGGGGCAAUAACUGCAACUGAAAGGAACGGGCACAGCUUGGUCAGAUGGAAACUGGGGCAGGCAGAGAAGGGCUCAUGUUACUGUGAUUACUAGAAGGAGCACAGCUGUGACCAUCUCAACCCUUCUCAGCCAGAGGAUGACACGGAAGCAGGGGACAAAAAUGGUAAAAGGGUCACAGGAGGGAGAGGCAGCAAGAAAGAAAGCGAAAGAAUCCAGAGAGGGAAACUCACAGAUGCAAGCUCUUUGCAGGUGGAGAAUAUCACAGCUCCUGAGAAAAAUACUGUAUGUGGUUGAGCAUAAGUGAAACUUAGCAUUCUAGAAGACUGAAGUUUGCAACAAACAAAUUCAGGGUUUGACCUACACCUGACAGAUAUAGGUCAACCCUCAUCCUGCUGCUCUCAGCAGCUGUAGCCAAUAGGAGACAGCGCUGCCCAGCAUGCUGGUUUAAGCUGCUGCUAAUAGAGGGAAAUCAACCUAACCCCAUAUUUCCUGCCUCUGUAGUCCUCACUUGUCUAUUCAUCACCAACUCAGGCGCAGGCAGAGCUGCUGGCUUGGUGUAACUGCUGGAUGACUGAUAAAUGGAAUCUGGUGAUAGCAUAUAUAUUCCCAUCUCAUCUAGCUAAAAAAAAUUGUUGUAAAGUCUUUUAAGGGAGGACUAUUAAAAUGCAAUAUUCCCUCAUUAAUGUAAAUGCUUUCCUAAAUUCAUACAACCAGAAGAGACUUACUAAUUCUUCACACCAACAGAACUUAAGAGAUGUUUAGAGAGAGGAAAUUCUGUGACAGAGGCGUGUUUUUGAAAGGAUACAGCAGAGGUUAAGUGACUUAUCCCAUGUUACUUAGUGGUGAUGGUUAAGGCAGAAAGAGAACUGAGAGAGUGGUCUGAGAGUAAGUGUGGAAAUUAUGAAAUUAAAUCUAAAGAAAGAACAUUAUCACCAAAUCAUGUUGCGUUAAAUAUCUAUUGGAAAUCCCAGUUCAGUAACACACAUUCCUUUAUCCUACAUGUUCAGACUCAUGUUAAAAGUGAGUUCAUAUAUUUCCUAGGCUCAUGUUU